UCAACAGAAGAGGCAAGGGUAACGGGAGGAGCCCCAAGCCCAUUCGAUUUUUUACCACUGCCUUUCUUCUCAGCAAGUGGCUGGGAUUUCAUCUCCUUAGGUACAGAAUCAAGAUCAAACGGUUCUUCAGAAGGCUCAUAAUUUUUUAAACUGGUCUCUAGAUUCCCCAGUGGCAAGUCUAGAGAGCCAAAAAGAACUUCUUGCACGUCUUUCUCAUUUUCAAGA
rnacentral:misc_RNA from 1 species